GUUCCCUUAGUUAAAUGGAUAUAACAGACGCCUCCUAAGCGUCAGUUGUGAGUUCGAUUCUCGCAGGGAACG
rnacentral:tRNA from 1 species